rnacentral:lncRNA from 1 species
GGUUGGAUACGCGAACGCAACGCAUCCAAGGCCAGCACAAUUGGCUCAGUGUUAUAGGCCUCUUCAAUCAGUGCUUCAGAAAGGUCAAGACAUUCUGGCGGAAAAGGAAUGCUAGGAAAGCCGGCGUGCUCGUAAUCUGGUAACCUUUCGUGUUUCGCCAUCACAUCUGUUAUCAAAUAAUCUUUAAGAUACGGCGAGCGACUAAUGUCGAUGAUGUACUCUGCAGCCAGCACAAAAUUCUCGAAAGAAGGCGGUUCCGCGAUAGAAGCGUUCACGGAUCUCCAUAUUGAAGGGAUGUGAAUGAAAGCAGACUCGUUAAAGAUGAGUUUGGCAGCUGAUAUGUCGCCGUAGUAAAUAGGGAUCGCGCCUCCUGC